UCAGAUUCUGAAGUUGGUGCAUGGUUUGUAAUUAAAGGUGUGCUUAUAAGAGAGAGAAUCUAAGAUUUGAAAUUUUUUCGGCGAUCAAUGGUUCCUAGCUAUAGUCUAGGCCUCCGAUAUAAAGACGCUUUGAUACUUCUCAGAAUCAUGACAUCAUCCUCAUGCCACUGACUGUGUCCCCUCAAAACACUUCCUGACUGCAAUUCCACAUUUUGAAACAAAUGGACCCACCUCUGCCUCUGUAAGCGUAAGCAUUUCCUGCUGUGUAAGUGAAGAGAAUUGCCAAGGUGGGAAGAGGCCAAGACAAAGAGAUUCUGCUUUGGAGACAGACUCUAGCAGAGGCUGUUCAAGUGAAGAGAGGAUCGCGUUGUAGAGGAGAAGCCAGAAAGGUGGUAACAGAUACCACGCAGGCAGUAAGGAGAUCGAGGGCUAGAACCAGUCAGUAGUCUGAUAUCAGCUAGCGAAAGUUAACUAUGUUAAAUAACAAACUACACACACACACACACACACACACACACACACACACACACACACCAGUCAAGAAUCCUAGAGUUUCUUAGUUGAGUGGUGCUUACUCUGUAUCUUUCUAAUGAUGUAGUCAGAUGACUUCUGUACUACAGACUUCUUGAUGAGUGAAUACAACAGAUCUAUUCGAUCUUAAGAUAGCUGUUAACUUGACAGAAUUUAGGGUCACCUAGGAAGGGAGUAUCAGUGAGAGAAUUGUUAGAUUAGGUGGCCUGUUGGGGGAUUAGCUUGAUAUAGGGCGAUCUACAUCAAUAUAUUCACAUGUGGGACCAUUUCCCUGAAGGACAUCCUGAGCUGUGUACAAUGGAGAAGGCAAGCUGGGUGCUAGCACACGUGAAUUCGUAUUUCUCCUCUGGUGGCAGAUGAAAUGGGACCAGAUGCUUCUGCUACUUUAACUUCCUAACAGUUAUGGACUGUGUCAUGAAAUAAACCCUUCCUUUCUUAAGU